GGGUUGAAGGUUGUAGUUCAGAACCAUGUGGUGGUGUCCCUCACAUCAGGGCUGCUGGUUGUGGGUGAGGCUAGGAGUUAGGCUAAUGGCUGUGGUUGAGGGUGAGGGUGAGACUAGGAGUUAGGCUAAUGGCUGUGGUUGAGGGUGAGGGUGAGACUAGGAGUUAGGCUAAUGGCUGGGAUUGAGAUUGAGACUAGGAGUUAGACUAAUGGCUGGGGUUGAGGGUGAGGCUAGGAGUGAGGUUCAUGGCUGGGGUUGAGUGUGAGACUAGGAGUGAGGCUAAUGGCUGGAGUUGAGGGUGAGACUAGGAGUUAGGCUAAUGGCUGGGGUUGAGGGUGAGACUAGGAGUUAGGCUAAUGGCUGGGGUUGAGGGUGAGACUAGGAGUUAGGCUAAUGGCUGGGGUUGAGGGUGAGACUAGGAGUUAGGCUAAUGGCUGGGGUUGAGGCUAGGAGUUAGGCUGGUGUUGAGGGUGAGGCUAGGAGUGAGGUUAAUGGCUGGGGUUGAGGGUGAGGCUAGGAGUGAGAUUAAUGGCUAGGGUUGAGGGUGAGGCUAGGAGUGAGGUUAAUGGCUGGGGUGGAGGGUGAGGC